rnacentral:lncRNA from 1 species
UGGAUUCUUUUACAACCUCAAAGAAGGAUUCUCUGGGUAGGUCCCUUAGCAUUGAGGUUGCUAACUUGGAUAGCAAGUCGGCCUUGGAGUUUUUUACUUGGGUAUCUACCGAAUAUCAAAGCUAGUGAACAUGGAGAUUAGAUCCUUUAUCUUUUGCAGGUACCUCUUUAUGUUUUCCUCUCAAGCUUGAUAAUCCCCCCUGAUUUGUUAG